rnacentral:rRNA from 1 species
CCCUUAGAUGUCCUGGGCCGCACGCGCGUUACACUGAUGCAUUCAACGAGCUUAUAACCUUGGCCGAGAGGCCUGGGCAAUCUUGUUAACGUGCAUCGUGAUAGGGAUAGAUUAUUGAAAUUAUUAAUCUUGAACGAGGAAUUCCUAGUAAACGCAGAUCAUCAAUCUGCAUUGAUUACGUCCCUGCCCUUUGUACACACCGCCCGUCGCUCCUACCGAUUGAGUGUUCCGGUGAAUAAUUCGGACUGCGGCUGAUUGGGGACUCUUCAGUCGGCUGUGGAAAGUCUAGUGAACCUUAACACUUAGAGGAAGGAGAAGUCGUAACA